GAUGAACGCUGGCGGCGUGCCUAAUACAUGCAAGUCGAGCGAACAGACGAGGAGCUUGCUCCUCUGACGUUAGCGGCGGACGGGUGAGUAACACGUGGAUAACCUACCUAUAAGACUGGGAUAACUUCGGGAAACCGGAGCUAAUACCGGAUAAUAUAUUGAACCGCAUGGUUCAAUAGUGAAAGACGGUUUUGCUGUCACUUAUAGAUGGAUCCGCGCCGCAUUAGCUAGUUGGUAAGGUAACGGCUUACCAAGGCGACGAUGCGUAGCCGACCUGCGAGGGUGAUCGGCCACACUGGAACGGAGACACGGUCCAGACUCCUACGGGAGGCAGCAGUAGGGAAUCUUCCGCAAUGGGCGAAAGCCUGACGGAGCAACGCCGCGUGAGUGAUGAAGGUCUUCGGAUCGUAAAACUCUGUUAUUAGGGAAGAACAAAUGUGUAAGUAACUAUGCACGUCUUGACGGUACCUAAUCAGAAAGCCACGGCUAACUACGUG
rnacentral:rRNA from 1 species